rnacentral:rRNA from 1 species
ACGGGGAGCAGCAGGCGCGAAACCUUYACACUGCACGCCRGUGCGAUAAGGGGACCCCGAGUGCGAGGGCAUACAGUCCUCGCUUUUCGUGACCGUAAGGWGGUCWCAGAAUAAGGAGCUGGGCAAGACCGGUGCCAGCCGCCGCGGUAAUACCGGCAGCUCGAGUGAUAGCCACUAUUAUUGGGCCUAAAGCGUCCGUAGCCGGCCGAACAGGUCCGUCGGGAAAUCCACCCGCUCAACGGGUGGACGUCCGGCGGAAACCAGUCGGCUUGGGGCCGGRAGACCWGAGAGGUACGUCCGGGGUAGGAGUGAAAUCCUGUAAUCCYGGACGGACCGCCGGURGCGAAAGCGUCUCWGGAGAACGGAYCCGACGGUGAGGGACGAAAGCUUGGGUCUCGAACCGGAUUAGAUACCCGGGUAGUCCAAGCUGUAAACGAUGCUCGCUAGGUGUGGCGYWGGCUACGAGCCWGCGCUGUGCCGUAGGGAAGCCGAGAAGCGAGCCGCCUGGGAAGUACGUCCGCAAGGAUGAAACUUAAAGGAAUUGGCGGGGGAGCAC